ACUCAGGUGGCUCGAUUGGACUGAGGCACUUCCCUACGAAGGAAGCAUAGGCAGGUUCGACCCCUGUCCUGAGUACCA
rnacentral:tRNA from 1 species